GCUACUGACUGAACUCCAGCCCCGCCUACGCACAGAAACACCAAUGUCCUAUGAGAAUCGGGGUAUUUGUGGACGGAUUUGCAGUAUUUGCAGUCAGACAUGUCAACUCUUCAGAAACCUGUCGGCGAGCCUCAGAAGUUUCUGGGAUAAUAAGGUGAAGAGACGGUUUUUUGCUUCACCGCAAAAGGAAGAGACACCAACCACCACGACUGACUACAUUUUUCACAGAGAAAAGAUUCUGGAGCUUGGCAGCAUCCUGAAGAAUACAAGACUAUCCCUCGAUAAGAGAGCUCAGGCUGCCCAGAAAAUCGGACUACUGUCUUUCACAGGAGGCAUGAGUGCCGCGCAGUUCGCCAGCGAGUACAUGACAGAGGUUGCUUUCUUGCUGCAGAAGAAAAAGGCGAUGUCAUUCAAGACAAAGAUCCUGCUACUCCAGAGUGUAGCGUGCUGGUGCUACCUAAACCCCGAAAGCCAGAGGAAGGCCAGACAACUAGAGAUUAUUCCGAUUUUCAUUGAUUUCUUGGAGUUGCCUUUCUCAUCUAGCAACAAGACUGACAUAAACACCCACCGCCUCUGCCAAUUUUGGACCUGCUAUGCCCUCACAGCCAUAACCUGUAACAACUUAGCUAUCAUGAGGGAGCUGAGAUCCUACCGAUCUCUAAAAUUCCACCUACAGAUCUUGGCUACAGAGAACUGGUCUGGGUGGCCUGAAAAUUUUGCCGAGGUCUUAUAUUUCCUAAUAGGUUUUCACAGGAACUAAUUUUUAUUUUUUUUAGUUCAGUUACAAGAUUCAACUAUCCUCGUGCCAUUGCAUUACCCCAGAAACCUGAAGUAAAGAAUAAAGUCCAUGGAUUAUUCUA
ensembl:antisense